GACGAACGCUGGCGGCGUGCCUAAUACAUGCAAGUAGAACGCUGAAGCUUGGUGCUUGCACCGAGCGGAUGAGUUGCGAACGGGUGAGUAACGCGUAGGUAACCUGCCUGGUAGCGGGGGAUAACUAUUGGAAACGAUAGCUAAUACCGCAUAAGAGUAGAUGUUGCAUGACAUUUGCUUAAAAGGUGCAAUUGCCUCACUACCAGAUGGACCUGCGUUGUAUUAGCUAGUUGGUGAGGUAACGGCUCACCAAGGCAACGAUACAUAGCCGACCUGAGAGGGUGAUCGGCCACACUGGGACUGAGACACGGCCCAGACUCCUACGGGAGGCAGCAGUAGGGAAUCUUCGGCAAUGGACGGAAGUCUGACCGAGCAACGCCGCGUGAGUGAAGAAGGUUUUCGGAUCGUAAAGCUCUGUUGUAAGAGAAGAACGAGUGUGAGAGUGGAAAGUUCACACUGUGACGGUAUCUUACCAGAAAGGGACGGCUAACUACGUG
rnacentral:rRNA from 1 species